rnacentral:rRNA from 1 species
GACGAACGCUGGCGGCGUGCUUAACACAUGCAAGUCGCGCGGCGCGGCGAACGGGUGAGUAACGCGUGAGUAACUGCCCCCCUCUCUGGUAUAACAGUUGGAAACGGCUGCUAAUACCGGAUAGUGGGGGAUGACUCGCGUCCUAUCAGCUUGUUGGUGGGGUAGUGGCCUACCAAGGCGACGACGGGUAGCCGGCCUGAGAGGGCGAACGGCCACAUGGGGCUGAGCUACGGACCAAACUGCGACGGGAGGCAGCAGUGGGGAAUAGUGCACAAUGGGGGAAAGCCUGAUGCAGCAACGCCGGGUGCGGGAUGACGGAUUUCGGGUUGUAAACCGCUUUCAGCCAUGACGCGGUAGUGGCAGAAGAAGCACCGGAUAACUACGUGACAGCAGCCGCGGUAAUUC